GCCAUAUGUAAGGAUAAUAUCUUCAAGGACAAGUGCAAAUAGUCUACUGGCACAUAUGUGGGGACAGUGACCCUGAGAUUCCUCUCCAACCAUCCAGGCGACUGAUCAAGUUAUUUGAGUAAGCAAGGAAGACUGAUUAGAACCAAGAGCAUCCUGAAAGAGAUUGAGAAAGCAAGUAUUGAUUGUUUUUUCUUUAGCACUCCGUGGGGGCGGGGUUAAAUAUUUAGUAUGGAACAGCAUCUAGCUUCCCAUUCUAAAACCUAACACGUGUUACAACCUCAUGGUAAAUUUCUCCCGUGCCAAAGUCCAAAACCAGCUCAUAAGAUCUCUUUCCAGAGUGAGGACACUGAAGUGGUAAGAGUCAAUCAUCAAGGGACUGUGCAGAUAUCUCCAAUAGGACCAAAUAAAUCUGUGGAUGGAAUAUGUGGCGCUGAGUCCAACUAAUGUACUGUAUUGUUGAGAGCAGAAAUGAGUUAACAUUCGUUGGGCAAACGUAGAGUUGGCAGUUUGAAUCCUGAUUCUUCAAGUGGGAAUGUGUAUGUGUCAUUUUUUUUGAACCUCGUAUCUUUGCCUUUCUUUAUGUGGUAAAUGGUCUACGGCAGUUGAUUGUGUAUACUUUGCUCUUACAAAACCACAUCGCUGCAUUGUCAGUAAUAGUAAUAAUAAUUUGACUUAGAUCUCAUUAACAGAAUAAAGUCUCAUGAACUUCAGGUUUGUUGAUGUUUU